CAAUAGCGUAUAUUAAAGUUGUUGCAGUUAAAAAGCUCGUAGUUGAAUUUUUGCUUGCCGCCGAUGUCGGAACUUCCGUACGUUCGGCGGCGUGCAUCCUUGGGUGGAACCUGUGUGGCAUUAGGUUGUCGUGCAGGGGAUGCUCAUCGUUUACUGUGAAAAAAUUAGAGUGUUCAAAGCAGGCUUAUGCCGUUGAAUAUAUUAGCAUGGAAUAAUAAGAUAGGACCUUGGUACUAUUUUGUUGGUUUGCGCACCGAGGUAAUGAUUAACAGGGACAGUUGGGGGUAUUCGUAUUCCAUUGUCAGAGGUGAAAUUCUUGGAUUUCUGGAAGACAAACUACUGCGAAAGCAUUUACCAAGGAUGUUUUCAUUAA
rnacentral:rRNA from 1 species